AGCCAAAAAAUGCAAGUCAUUUAGCCAGAGCAUGCACAGAAGAGAAAAUUUUGACCAGAAAUAACACCUAGAACCACAGAUUCUCCCCUUGAUGGAACCAAAGGACUGGGGAAGAACCAGAACUUGAAAGCUAGACUCUCUUCAGAAUAAAGAGGUCUCUUUCCUAGGAAGAUCCUGUGUUAAAAUCCUUUCCACAUCUUACCAUCAAAGUUUAAAGCCCUCCAGGUAAAACUUGCCCUGCCAGUGCUUCCAUACACCAGCCUUCUCCCCCUCUCAUGUUAAGAUUUUCUCCAAGCCCUGGAUCAUGAAGACAGAUGUGAGUGCCUUGCCUACUGUCUCCUUGCAGGUCAACUUCACAAUAAAGUCUUUUCUCGAAAGCUUGUGCCAUGGUGUCAGCUUCUGUGCAUACCAGGUGAUGAGCACUUGCGCAGUAAAAAUUUCUGGUGACCAGGAAGGGACUCGGUCCCGUGACCACCAGCCUGAAGCUCUUGAGCCCCCAGCAGACUGUGCAGUCUCUUCACUGACAGUAAGUGACCACCUAGAGGCUUGGCUGAACAGAUUCCUGUUUCCCUCCUUGGUACUAUAGGCCUAUGAGUACUAUUUUUCUACUUUUGAAAGAAGAAACAGCUUCUGGACCAAGACUUCUCUGGGUUCGGGGAAAAGAGAAGAGGCGAGAAGAGGAGACAAGCUGAGAAGAGAGGAGAGAACAGGAGAGGGACAGAAUGACGUUGUGUGUUGAAGUACAAUUGUGUUUUGGCUCCAAUGGCCUUGAAAAAGUUUUUUUCAGUUUUGUUACAAACCCAUCAUGCCAUCUGCAGACUCUUCAGAUGGAACCUGAAAUCUUCGAAUUGAGCCUUUUGCUAAUAUAGGUCAUUAGUGCUAUAAUAACCCCUUAGUACUGAUUUAGCAGCAUGCCACAAUUAUUAAGGGGAACUGGUUAAAUGGACUUGGCACAUCCACACAAAGGAGUAUUUUGCAACCUUAGAAAGAGAGGAAUGUUUACAACUACUUAUAGAAGGUGAUUUCCAGAACGAAUUAUUAAUUAUAAAAAGUACAGCAAAUGGCAGUGCUUUUUACAGUAAUUAAAUUCAAUUUCCCUCUGAAGGUCAACUUUUGCCACUGCUAUUCUUGAAUUCUAUAAUCCCCUUUAAUAUCAUGGAGCUCAAUUCCCUGGAAAAUAUCCCUCUAUGCUUGCCUCGUGUAGGUUAUGAGAAUGCCUAGCAAGAUGCAUAUGUAACAGAGAAGUACGAAACCACCUUAUUGAAAUUUCUAUGGUUCCAAUAGUCAGGAAUAGUGGUUCUCAAACUUCUUCAUAUGAGGAAGCAUUUAUACACUCUUAAAAUUGUUGAGUAUCCAAAAGAACUUUGUUCAUGUGGGUUACAUCCAUUAAUAUUUACCAUAUGGUAAAUUAAAAUUGAGAAAAUAAAAAGCUGUGUUUUCAUUUGUUUAAAAAUAGUAAACAUCAUAUGUUAAAAUAAAUAUUUUUUAUAAAGUGGCUAUAUGUUUUAAAAACUUUAGUUGGAAGAUUGAUAUUUGUUUUACUUUUUAUAACCUCUUAAUGUCUCCCUUUGUAGUACACAUAUAGGUUCUCAUAUCUGCUUCUACAUUCAAUGUGAUGCAUUAUGUUGUUUUGAUUGAGGUACAUGAAUAACUUCUAGCUCACCCAGAUAGGUAUUUUGGAAAAGAUAAAUAUUGUACCAGCCUUUUCAGAUAUUCUUCGUAGAAAUAUAAUCUCAUAUUCAUCAGAAUAGUCUUUAAAUAGUAACAAGCUUUCCAGUAUCCUAACUUUUGCUUGAAAGCUCACAGUAUGUGAUUAGAAAUAAAUACUAUACAUUGUUUUCUUUAAAGGUACUUGCUCCCUUCAUCGUUUUGCGGAAAAAUAUUGGAGAACUAUGAAAACUUGUCUAAAUAACUAUAGUUUACUUGCAACUCAGUUUAAAAUAUUGUUCUAUGAAAGAGUAGCAGUUAGUUUGUAAUUUAAAUAAUCGCACAAGUGAUUUCCCACUAGACAACCAUACUUCAAAAUGUAGCAGAAGUUCUUCAUGUAUAUUUCCAACUUCUUCACACCAAGUAUUGAAAAUAUAUGCAAGGAAGUAUUAAAAUUUAAUAAAAUUAAUAAUCUUUACUGCUUUAAAAACAGCAUUCUAAAGUGAGUUUGGAUUUUUUUUCCCUACAAAUGCAUAGUGUUGAAAAAUACAUUGUACUGCUAAAUUUUGAUCUCACAGUAUUGAUUCAUGCUAAGGCAUCGGCAGUUUUACCCACUGUCACUCUGCCUCAUUAGUAUAACUGUCAAACAGUUAAAGAGGCAAAUACCUUCAUAGUAAUAUUAAGUAAUUAUUUUCACCUCAGGACACUCUAAAAGAAUCUCAAGGAUCCCCAAGAAUCCAUAGGCAACUUCUUGAGAACUGAUAGUUUAGUGUAUGCUAGGAUAGGCUUGAAAGAUAAAGAAUAAAUUACUGCACCCACUAAUGGUGCAGUGGUAAUCAUACCAUAUCAUUAAAAAUGAGGUACAGUGCUUGGUAGAUACCUUUGGAUUUUGGAGGUAUCCACUUAGGAAUACUGCUGUCAUUCAUAUGUUGGGUAACUUAAAAGGCUGAGAGAUUUCAGUGGGACUCAGAACAAUAUAGGGCUUUGCAGGAGAUCCAGGCUGUGAUGCAAGCUUCUGUGAUACAUAGGCCAUGUGACCUGGCAAAUUUAAUGGGACUAGAGGGACUCAUAGUAAACCAGAUCUCUGUAUGGUUUAUCUGUCAAAUCCCAGUAGGAGAGUCAAUGUGAAAUCCCUCAUGGUUUUGGAGCAAGGCUAGGCCUCUACACCAUUUCAUAAACAACUUGUGAAUUAUGGGAGAGUCUGAACCAUGACCCUGUGAUAGUGCAAUCAGAACUGACUAUAAUGACCUAGGUAUUAUCAGUUUCUCCAAGUCAGUAUGUGAUGUAGAUGUACAACAGACAAAUAAGGGGUCAGUUAUACCUAAAGCUUUAUCUGCUGCCUGGUUGUGUUGGGGUCUUCAUGGCAUUAAGUAAGCAAAGACAUGAUAAACUACACUUUCAAGGCUAAUUUCCUCUAAUUAUCAUGACAGGCUAGCUCUGCUGCUCCAUAUGGGGCAAAACUAAGAGUAGAGAGCUCAGAUAAUCCCCUCUGGACUCUUUUGAGCUUCUGUGCCAGGUGGUAACAAUACGUGGGCAAUUGAAGCAAAAGUUAUCCCUAGGACAGAGUAAAAGUGCUCAGACCUCUCAGCAGUGAAAAUUUGGCUUACUCCACCAGACAAGCUACCUAGACAAGGUGAAAAGCUGGCCAAGGUGAGGGGAAUAUGGAACAGGAGUGCCUAUUUAUGGUUCUCUUGAUAACUUGAAGUGACAGAGUGCCAGAAUGAAUUUCUUGUAGCCCAUGAGCAGAUCUGAGCAGGACUUGGAUUCUAUCAGACAUUCUACACUACUUGCCAUUUGUCCCUUUGAGUUUGUUUACAGCUGCAAUGGACAAUUAUGGCACCCUACCAGUUCCUACCCCAAGUACAAGCCUGUCUCAUUUUUACCUUGAGGGCUCUCUUUAACAGUCAUGGUGAUUGAUCACCCAAAUCUCAGGGAAUCUUAUAUGUGCUAAUAGUUUUAAUGUUCCUGGGAUGAUGCUAAAGAGAUAUAAGACGAUGGCUAAAUGUAACAGCUUCCUCACUGGGACAUUAUGAAGCCCAUUCUACAGAAUUCCUCAAAAGGGUCCAUAGUGGAAAUAAGCUUAGUUGCCCACAACAGUAAGCUGCUCAUUAACUCUUCUUUCAUUGCCUCCACCCAACCCCGCACCCCCCAUCUACUUCUUUUGCUCUAACUUGUGCAUCUUGGGGUAACCUACCAAAUAAAUUACCACAAAUAUGUCCUGACUCAGAGUUUACCUAUGUGAGAACUCAAAGUAAGACAAGUAGUAUCAGAUAAGUAAAGUAGGGGUAUUUUUUUUAAGUAAACGUAUAUAAUUGUCAUGCUUCUCCUUUUUUGUUUUCAGAAUGCUAAACCAGGAAAAGAAUUUUCUUUUUCCCACUGUACUUUGUUUAAGGUUAUGAUGUCAUUUUGUAGUCCUUACAUCUUGCUGAUAAGGAACCUUAACCUCAGUGGAAAUUUGGUGUAAGAAAUAAGAGAUUACUGGUAUGGACUUAAAACAAUGUUUUCCUCCACAGAUUACUUGUGUGUAAUUUGAGGUUGGGCACGCUAAUCUCUUUCUACCAAUCUGUGAUUCAAAAUGCAGUAUUG
rnacentral:lncRNA from 1 species